rnacentral:rRNA from 1 species
AAAUUGACGGGGGCCCGCACAAGCGGCGGAGCAUGCGGAUUAAUUCGAUGCAACGCGAAGAACCUUACCAAGGCUUGACAUACACCGGUAACGCCCAGAGAUGGGUGCCCCUUUGUGGUCGGUGUACAGGUGGUGCAUGGUUGUCGUCAGCUCGUGUCGUGAGAUGUUGGGUUAAGUCCCGCAACGAGCGCAACCCUCGUCCUAUGUUGCCAGCGGGUCAUGCCGGGGACUCAUGGGAGACUGCCGGGGUCAACUCGGAGGAAGGUGGGAUGACGUCAAAUCAUCAUGCCCCUUAUGUCUUGGGCUUCACGCAUGCUACAAUGGCCGGUACAAAGGGCUGCGAUACCGCGAGGUGGAGCGAAUCCCAGAAAGCCGGUCUCAGUUCGGAUUGGGGUCUGCAACUCGACCCCAUGAAGUCGGAGUCGCUAGUAAUCGCAGAUCAGCAACGCUGCGGUGAAUACGUUCCCGGGCCUU